UGCGUAGGUGGUUUAAUAAGUCAGAUGUGAAAUCCCCGGGCUCAACCUGGGAACUGCAUUUGAAACUAUUAGGCUAGAGUACGGUAGAGGGAAGUGGAAUUUCCGGUGUAGCGGUGAAAUGCGUAGAUAUCGGAAGGAACAUCAGUGGCGAAGGCGACUUCCUGGACCGCAACUGACACUGAGGCACGAAAGCGUGGGGAGCAAACAGGAUUAGAUACCCUGGUAGUCCACGCCGUAAACGAUGAGAACUAGAUGUUAGGGGGCUUGUCCUCUUAGUAUUGCAGCUAACGCGUUAAGUUCUCCGCCUGGGGAGUACGGCCGCAAGGUUAAA
rnacentral:rRNA from 1 species